UACGGAGGGUGCGAGCGUUGUCCGGAAUCACUGGGCGUAAAGGGCGCGUAGGCGGCUCAUGAAGGCUGUGGUGAAAGUCCGGGGCUCAACCUCGGAUCGGCCGUGGCGACUCGUGGGCUGGAGCACUGUAGAGGCGGGUGGAAUUCCGGGUGUAGCGGUGGAAUGCGUAGAGAUCCGGAAGAACACCAAUGGCGAAGGCAGCCUUCUGGGCCAACACUGACGCUCAUGCACGAAAGCGUGGGGAGCAAACAGG
rnacentral:rRNA from 1 species